GGAUCUGUAGCGCAAUGGUAGCGCAGUUGACUUUUAAUCAAUUGGUUCUGGGUUCGAGUCCCAGCAGGUCCA
rnacentral:tRNA from 1 species